CCUCGGGUUCGUUUCCCGAAUGGGGAGCCA
rnacentral:misc_RNA from 1 species